UCUGUGAAGCACAAAGCGCAAAAACCCUAGCUGCUUCUUCUUCUUCUCCGCCGUUUUAGCAGUGACUGGAGAUUCCCCCUGAGCGAAGGGCGGGAAUCGAUGCAGCAAAAAGAGUAGGGGUCGGAGGUUAUUUAUCCGUCUAUCAUCGCCAAGCCCCUUGCUGGGAAGAAGCUCCAAAAUCGAACCCUCGAGCUCAUUUAAAAAGCUUUAUGGGCUGGAAGAAUAUUAGCUAAUGUUGCCUUCGCGCCAAUGCAGUGCAAUGGUGUGUCUUUUUUUUUGUUUUCUUGGGAUGUGUAUUCAUUUCGUACUUGUGUUAUGAACUUCGGAAGCCACUGGACAGAAAUGCUUUAAGACUCACGGACACUAUGGGUUAGCUUUGAGUCUAAAUUAGACCGUCCGCUGUCCUUUGUACAUUGGUUUUCGUUUAUGUUUGCAAUAUCUGUGUACAAUAAGCCGAUGCUCUGGAGCAAAACGAAUGAAGGUAGCAUGGUUAUGUGCACGGAAAUCAAGUUGCAUUGGGUCAACAUGUCUGCCCCCUCUGAGUUCUUUCUUGGUUCUUUGAUUAGGGGGCCUGGUUCAGACCCACAUUUCUCUUUUUGUGUUGUUGUAUAGUUGGAAAGAUUAUUCUUUUCUUUUGUGGGCGCUGUAACUUUUGAAAAUCCAGCAAACCUUUGGUUUCUUACCAUUCGUGUUUGUGAGAUCUGUGUACAAUAAGCCGAUGCUCUGGAAGAAAAUGAAUGAAGGUAGCAUGGUUAUGUGCACGGAAAUCAAGUUGCAUUGGGUCAACAUGUCUGCCCCCUCUGAGUUCUUUCUUGGUUCUUUGAUUAGGGGGCCUGGUUCAGACCCACAUUUCUCUUUUUGUGUUGUUGUAUAGUUGGAAAGAUUAUUCUUUUCUUUUGUGGGCGCUGUAACUUUUGAAAAUCCAGCAAACCUUUGGUUUCUUACCAUUCGUGUUUGUGA